GGCAUUCAGAUGGUAUUUUUAUCUCCAUUACUGAUGAGGAGCCUGGGGCCCAGGGAGGUGAAGGACAUACUCAUUCACCCCAGGAUUACACAGUACGUGGCCUGCUGGGCAAAGCCACAGAUGACUUCGUGAGGAUGGGCGGCUGGUGAAGGAAACAACCUAUGGUGAGAGCCCGUGGGAGUUCGCCUAUUCCAGUGGAACUGAGGCCACGUGGGAGGGUCGGCUGAGGCUGCCUCCCUCUGCGUUUGCUUCCCCUUGAUUCCUCAGUGCCCCACAGGCCGUGCCAGCCGCAUCUGUUAUUCUCAGACACGCCAGGCUCCAUCUGGCCUUCGUGGAGCUUUGGACACUGGGGAUCCCCUGUGGUCAACUCCUCAGUUGGCUCAAAUGUCAUCUCCCCAGAGAAGCCUUCUUCAGCCCCAGACAAGGUCCUGACUGGAUGGACCCUCACAGAGUAACUAACUAAUGAUUCGUGUUUAUUUACUUAAUAUCUGCUUCCCCACCAGGCUGUUGCCCCGAGAGCAGGACCUACAUGGUUCACCGCUGUGGUUGUACAUGUAGCACAGGGCCCAGGAUGUGGGGGGCACUUAAUACAUGUUUAUUGAAUGAA